rnacentral:rRNA from 1 species
UUUUACUUUAAAACUAAGAACAAACGAUCAGUUAAUUAAAGCUACCUUAGGGAUAACAGGAUAAUUUCAUUUUAGAGUUCAAAUCGAAAAUGAAGUUUGUCACCUCUAUGUUGAAUUAAGAUAUCCUGGUAAUGCAGAAGUUACCAAAGGUAGGUCUGUUCGACCUUUAAAAUCUUACAUGAUUUGA